GCCGGGUGCAGUGGUGUACACCUGUAAUCCCAGUGGCUCUGGAGGCUGAGGCAGGAGGAUCAUGAAUUCAAAGCCAACCUCAGCAAAAGUGAGACACUAAGCAACUCAUUGAGAGCUUGUCUCUA
rnacentral:sRNA from 1 species